rnacentral:rRNA from 1 species
CAGCCGUAAACAAUGUGCGUUAGGUGUGUCGGUAACCACGCGUUACUGAUGCGCCGAAGAGAAAUCGUGAAACGCACCACCUGGGAAGUACGGUCGCAAGGCUGAAACUUAAAGGAAUUGGCGGGGGGAGCACCACAACAGGUGGAGCCUGCGGUUUAAUUGGAUUCAACGCCGGACAUCUCACCGGAUAAGACAGCUGAAUGAUUGUCAAUCUGAAGGUUUUACAUGACUAGCUGAGAGGAGGUGCAUGGCGUCAGUGACU